rnacentral:rRNA from 1 species
GUCGAGAAUCUUCGGCAAUGGGCGAAAGCCUGACCGAGCGACGCCGCGUGGGGGAUGAAGGCCUUCGGGUUGUAAACCCCUGUCAGAUGUUAGGAAGGUCCGUUUGUGAACAACAGGCGGGCUUGACAAAGGCAUCAGAGGAAGUCACGGCUAACUCUGUGCCAGCAGCCGCGGUAAGACAGAGGUGACAAGCGUUGUUCGGAUUUACUGGGCAUAAAGGGCACGUAGGCGGCCCGGUCCGUCAGAGGUGAAAGCCCACGGCUCAACCGUGGAAUUGCCUUUGAGACCGCCGGGCUAGAGGAUCAGAAGGGAGAGCGGAAUUCCAGGUGGAGCGGUGAAAUGCGUAGAUAUCUGGAAGAACGCCGGUGGUGAAAACGGCUCUCUGGUUGAUCCCUGACGCUGAGGUGCGAAAGCCAGGGGAGCAAACGGGAUUAGAUACCCGUGUAGUCC